rnacentral:rRNA from 1 species
GAUGAACGCUGGCGGCGUGCCUAAUACAUGCAAGUCGAGCGAACGGACGAGAAGCUUGCUUCUCUGAUGUUAGCGGCGGACGGGUGAGUAACACGUGGAUAACCUACCUAUAAGACUGGGAUAACUUCGGGAAACCGGAGCUAAUACCGGAUAAUAUUUUGAACCGCAUGGUUCAAAAGUGAAAGACGGUCUUGCUGUCACUUAUAGAUGGAUCCGCGCUGCAUUAGCUAGUUGGUAAGGUAACGGCUUGCCAAGGCAACGAUGCAUAGCCGACCUGAGAGGGUGAUCGGCCACACUGGAACUGAGACACGGUCCAGACUCCUACGGGAGGCAGCAGUAGGGAAUCUUCCGCAAUGGGCGAAAGCCUGACGGAGCAACGCCGCGUGAGUGAUGAAGGUCUUCGGAUCGUAAAACUCUGUUAUUAGGGAAGAACAUAUGUGUAAGUAACUGUGCACAUCUUGACGGUACCUAAUCAGAAAGCCACGGCUAACUACGUGCCAGCAGCCGCGGUAAUACGUAGGUGGCAAGCGUUAUCCGGAAUUAUUGGGCGUAAAGCGCGCGUAGGCGGUUUUUUAAGUCUGAUGUGAAAGCCCACGGCUCAACCGUGGAGGGUCAUUGGAAACUGGAAAACUUGAGUGCAGAAGAGGAAAGUGGAAUUCCAUGUGUAGCGGUGAAAUGCGCAGAGAUAUGGAGGAACACCAGUGGCGAAGGCGACUUUCUGGUCUGUAACUGACGCUGAUGUGCGAAAGCGUGGGGAUCAAACAGGAUUAGAUACCCUGGUAGUCCACGCCGUAAACGAUGAGUGCUAAGUGUUAGGGGGUUUCCGCCCCUUAGUGCUGCAGCUAACGCAUUAAGCACUCCGCCUGGGGAGUACGACCGCAAGGUUGAAACUCAAAGGAAUUGACGGGGACCCGCACAAGCGGUGGAGCAUGUGGUUUAAUUCGAAGCAACGCGAAGAACCUUACCAAAUCUUGACAUCCUUUGACAACUCUAGAGAUAGAGCUUUCCCCUUCGGGGGACAAAGUGACAGGUGGUGCAUGGUUGUCGUCAGCUCGUGUCGUGAGAUGUUGGGUUAAGUCCCGCAACGAGCGCAACCCUUAAGCUUAGUUGCCAUCAUUAAGUUGGGCACUCUAAGUUGACUGCCGGUGACAAACCGGAGGAAGGUGGGGAUGACGUCAAAUCAUCAUGCCCCUUAUGAUUUGGGCUACACACGUGCUACAAUGGACAAUACAAAGGGCAGCGAAACCGUGAGGUCAAGCAAAUCCCAUAAAGUUGUUCUCAGUUCGGAUUGUAGUCUGCAACUCGACUACAUGAAGCUGGAAUCGCUAGUAAUCGUAGAUCAGCAUGCUACGGUGAAUACGUUCCCGGGUCU